AUCGUAACAAGGUUUCCGUAGGUGAACCUGCGGAAGGAUCAUUACAAUUCAGUAGCUUGCUACUGGUCGGGAGUCGCUGUAAGUCCGCAUAGUUUAAUUACUGAUGAGCGGCAGGCACUCUGUCUGAACCCUUGUCUUUUGCGCACUCUUGUUUCCUCGGCGGGCUUGCCCGCCGAUUGGACAAAACUAUAACCUUUUUAAUUUUCAAUCAGCGUCUGAAAAAACUUAAUAAUUACAACUUUCAACAACGGAUCUCUUGGUUCUGGCAUCGAUGAAGAACGCAGCGAAAUGCGAUAAGUAGUGUGAAUUGCAGAAUUCAGUGAAUCAUCGAAUCUUUGAACGCACAUUGCGCCCCUUGGUAUUCCAUGGGGCAUGCCUGUUCGAGCGUCAUUUGUACCCUCAAGCUCUGCUUGGUGUUGGGUGUUUGUCCUCUCCUCUGCGUUUGGACUCGCCUUAAAGCAAUUGGCAGCCAGUGUUUUGGUAUUGAAGCGCAGCACAUUUUGCGAUUCUAGCCUUUAAUACUUGCGUCCAUAAGCCUUUUUUAACUUUGACCUCGAUCAGGUAGCU
rnacentral:rRNA from 1 species